rnacentral:rRNA from 1 species
UACGUAGGGGGCUAGCGUUGUCCGGAAUCAUUGGGCGUAAAGAGCGUGUAGGCGGUCCGGUAAGUCCGCUGUGAAAGUCGGGGGCUCAACCCUCGAAUGCCGGUGGAUACUGUCGGGCUAGAGUGCGGAAGAGGCGAGUGGAAUUCCUGGUGUAGCGGUGAAAUGCGCAGAUAUCAGGAGGAACACCGGUGGCGAAGGCGGGUCUCUGGGCCGAUACUGACGCUGAGGAGCGAAAGCGUGGGAGCGAACAGG